AGAGAAAGAAAAUUCGAUUCCCUUAGUAGCGGCGAGCGAAACGGGAAGAGCCCAAACCAACAAGCUUGCUUGUUGGGGUUGUAGGACACUCUAUACGGAGUUACAAAGGACGACAUUAGACGAAUCAUCUGGAAAGAUGAAUCAAAGAAGGUAAUAAUCCUGUAGUCGAAAAUGUUGUCUCUCUUGAGUGGAUCCUGAGUACGACGGAGCACGUGAAAUUCCGUCGGAAUCUGGGAGGACCAUCUCCUAAGGCUAAAUACUCUCUAGUGACCGAUAGUGAACCAGUACCGUGAGGGAAAGGUGAAAAGCACCCCGGAAGGGGAGUGAAAUAGAACCUGAAACCGUGUGCUUACAAGUAGUCAGAGCCCGUUAAUGGGUGAUGGCGUGCCUUUUGUAGAAUGAACCGGCGAGUUACGAUUUGAUGCAAGGUUAAGCAGUAAAUGUGGAGCCGUAGCGAAAGCGAGUCUGAAUAGGGCGUUUAGUAUUUGGUCGUAGACCCGAAACCAGGUGAUCUACCCUUGGUCAGGUUGAAGUUCAGGUAACACUGAAUGGAGGACCGAACCGACUUACGUUGAAAAGUGAGCGGAUGAACUGAGGGUAGCGGAGAAAUUCCAAUCGAACCUGGAGAUAGCUGGUUCUCUCCGAAAUAGCUUUAGGGCUAGCCUCAAGUGAUGAUUAUUGGAGGUAGAGCACUGUUUGGACGAGGGGCCCCUCUCGGGUUACCGAAUUCAGACAAACUCCGAAUGCCAAUUAAUUUAACUUGGGAGUCAGAACAUGGGUGAUAAGGUCCGUGUUCGAAAGGGAAACAGCCCAGACCACCAGCUAAGGUCCCAAAAUAUAUGUUAAGUGGAAAAGGAUGUGGCGUUGCCCAGACAACUAGGAUGUUGGCUUAGAAGCAGCCAUCAUUUAAAGAGUGCGUAAUAGCUCACUAGUCGAGUGACACUGCGCCGAAAAUGUACCGGGGCUAAACAUAUUACCGAAGCUGUGGAUUGUCCUUUGGACAAUGGUAGGAGAGCGUUCUAAGGGCGUUGAAGCAUGAUCGUAAGGACAUGUGGAGCGCUUAGAAGUGAGAAUGCCGGUGUGAGUAGCGAAAGACGGGUGAGAAUCCCGUCCACCGAUUGACUAAGGUUUCCAGAGGAAGGCUCGUCCGCUCUGGGUUAGUCGGGUCCUAAGCUGAGGCCGACAGGCGUAGGCGAUGGAUAACAGGUUGAUAUUCCUGUACCACCUAUAAUCGUUUUAAUCGAUGGGGGGACGCAGUAGGAUAGGCGAAGCGUGCGAUUGGAUUGCACGUCUAAGCAGUAAGGCUGAGUAUUAGGCAAAUCCGGUACUCGUUAAGGCUGAGCUGUGAUGGGGAGAAGACAUUGUGUCUUCGAGUCGUUGAUUUCACACUGCCGAGAAAAGCCUCUAGAUAGAAAAUAGGUGCCCGUACCGCAAACCGACACAGGUAGUCAAGAUGAGAAUUCUAAGGUGAGCGAGCGAACUCUCGUUAAGGAACUCGGCAAAAUGACCCCGUAACUUCGGGAGAAGGGGUGCUCUUUAGGGUUAACGCCCAGAAGAGCCGCAGUGAAUAGGCCCAAGCGACUGUUUAUCAAAAACACAGGUCUCUGCUAAACCGUAAGGUGAUGUAUAGGGGCUGACGCCUGCCCGGUGCUGGAAGGUUAAGAGGAGUGGUUAGCUUCUGCGAAGCUACGAAUCGAAGCCCCAGUAAACGGCGGCCGUAACUAUAACGGUCCUAAGGUAGCGAAAUUCCUUGUCGGGUAAGUUCCGACCCGCACGAAAGGCGUAACGAUUUGGGCACUGUCUCAACGAGAGACUCGGUGAAAUCAUAGUACCUGUGAAGAUGCAGGUUACCCGCGACAGGACGGAAAGACCCCGUGGAGCUUUACUGUAGCCUGAUAUUGAAAUUCGGCACAGCUUGUACAGGAUAGGUAGGAGCCUUUGAAACGUGAGCGCUAGCUUACGUGGAGGCGCUGGUGGG
rnacentral:rRNA from 1 species